UAUUCCAUUACUUUCUUCCUCUUCUUUCUUCCAUAUUCUACUCUACCUAUUCUGCUUUACUUAUUCUACCUAUUCUACCUAUUCUGCUUUACUUAUUCUACCUAUCCAAUAUUUAUACUUCCUAUGUUUUACCUCUUUUAUAUUUCGUUAACAUGUUUAACGAUUACUCGCUUUACUGCUCGUUACCCACCUGAAUCAAAACUGAGUCAACUUCAUAUUUUUCAUCCAUCUUGAUUAUCAUAAUACACUGCGUAUCUUUAUUCAACUUACUGCAUUACAACACAGCCUUAUUCUAUAAACUUCAAGUUUUCAUUCAUCUAUCCUCAUUCGCCAUAUUGCACUACAUCCCCUUAUUAUACUUACUGCAUCCCAACACACUCACUUCCACUCAUUUCAGUGUUUUGUCCAUCUUCACUACCACACUACACUACUCAUUCUUCCCGACGACAUAUCACUCAACAAACUUUUUCAAUAAUUUUUUUUUCUU